CCACAUUACUCCACCUCCGACCUGAAGAAGCAUCUUAAAUAGAACCCAAGGCCAAUUUGCGGUUGAUUAACACAACAGUCAUGAAAACAGCAUGAAAUGGAUCAAUUUCCUCAUACGAGCUCAGCAGAAUCUGCAAAAGUACCAAAUGAAGGAGCGCUUGGAGUCAGGGAUGAAGGUGUCAGGGAUCCAGAGCAGGGACACGAGGCGUCCAUCCACGCUGACGCUCUCAUUUCCCGGGAACACCAGCCUGGAGUCUCGCCAGCGCUGACGAAGGAAGAUGGUUGCAGUGUAGUCCUAAAAAGGUAUUCCCAUCACAUUGAAAAGCUCCCAGGACCUCAGCAAAGCAUUUCCAUUAAAUUCCAAUGUAUUAUUUACACAGCUCUGCCAAUGUGAUUAAUGACGCAUAUGAACACUAUUUAUUUCCUCUUUCUAAUGGCCAUAAUGAAAGUUAAAGAGCCAUAGAAUGUCAUUCGGUUGUUUUUCUACACAUGCCAGUUGAUGAUUCAUCCACGCAACGAUAUGUUUCAUGAGUUAUCUUAUUUACCGCCUUGCAGCUUCGGCUAAAGUCUCAGCUGAUUAUUUGUGCUGGUUUAUGCAUGCUCUCUUCCUUCUCUCAUUCUUCUUUCACACUCCUUAUCAGCUCUUUUCCUUCAGCCAUGUUUCAGCUAAUAGAUUUAUAAUAUAUCUCUUUAUUUCUUUUCUUUACAUUUGCUCAGUCUGUGCAUGCACAUGCCAAAGAAAUAUGUAUUUAUACAUCCCAUCUUGUUAAAAAAAAUAUGUUUCCACACAAUGUUCUCAUUCUCAGGUUUGGUCUCAUCACGGCUCUCUCUUUCUCCUACCUGUUUCAGUCUUCUGGUUUCCUGUUUCCACCUCUGGUCACUCCUCUUCUCUUUCCACUCUUCCUUUUGUUUCCUUCCCCACUCUUCUGUCUCCCUUUGUCCCAGAUGUUGUGAGUGGCUGAGAUUUCUGUCCUUCUUUUGUUAUUAAUGAUAAUAUCGCAGUGCUUCUUCCACCUAAAGAUAGACAACAGUUGCUUCUAUCAUUUGGUCCUGGUGUGGGGGCUACUGUUGCUUGUUUUCUUGUUUGUGCAUCUCCUUCCUACUCUCUACACAGCUGGAUUCAUCUCUCCACUGAGCCUCUGUGCACCCCCUCCCUCUAUCUCUCUCUCUCUCUCUCUCUCUCUCCUUAGUUUAUGCCACUCACCCUCUCAUUCGCACUCCAUCUCUCCCCUAUUUUUUACUGCCCCCUACCUCCACACACACACACACACACACACACACACACACAUACUGUAUGCACACACAUAAACAUCCAGUUUGAUCUACCAUAUCACUUCUUUUCUUUUCCCUCAUUCGCCUCCUCCCACACAUUCUUAUUCUUUUGGCCCUUAAUCUCUAUCUACCUCCCCACCCUCCAAUUUACUCUGACACUGCACCUCCUUCUGGGCUUCAAAGCUCUGUCUCCUUCCCUCAUGCCCUCUCCCUCCUCAACUCCAACUCCGUUCCCUUACAUCAGUAUCAUCAUUUGAAUUAGUUUCCUCUCAGCUCUGUUUCCUAUCUCUCGCCACUUCCAUAAAAUAGCCAUGUGGCCCCCAUAUGAGAUAAAAAACAACAAGUAAGACUACUUUUCUCUAUUUGGCUCUCAAAAAACCUUAUUGAAAAUGGCAUCCAUGGGGUGUCUCCCCUCCUGCAGAUUACUCCUCUAGCCCUGAGAGCUGCUGAUGUCCACAUUUGGGUCAUUGAAAAUGUAUUGAACCUCUUAAUAUUGCGUGGUGGUGACGGUGAUGACUUAUCCACACACAACAGUCAACCGCAGCCCAUAGACCAAAGCACUUUUUGUGCUAAACGGUCGAUCUUUCGGCUCCAGCACCUUUGACAUUUUGUCAUUAAUCUGGUAUAUGCUCAUAAUUUUUUCAAGAUUCUACUCUAACAGCCUGACCCCGAUGGCCCACUGCUGGGAGUUCCAGCAUGUGUAAGAAAGCCUUGAGGGUUUACAGACUAAUAACGCCUUAUGAGAUUUCAGCACAGGCUAUCAACCUGCUGCAGUCUAUUGUGUUCCCCAGCCUGUGUUCCCCAGUACUGACUACUGAUGAUAACUGCUUGCUAGCAAACUCUUUCUAAAUUAAGUGCAUCAGUAACUGUAGUUAUAAAGCUCUCCUAUUUUUUAUUUCAUGCUCUGGUGGCUGUAUUCGUGGACAAACAGUCUUUUUACAUUUCAUGUUAAUGGUGAGGAGCGCUGUGGAAUGAACAUAAGAUAAUCUGAUUUGCAUCCACCAUGUGAAUCAGUGUGCACAUAGAGUCAGAGUCCCUGACAGUGAAAGAGACAAAUUGAGACGUUUGUGAAGCACCUGAGGGGGAGGAUGUCAAUGUUUGAUCCGUGUGUUAGGGGGCUAAUGUAUAAUUAUAGCCAGACAAGCGAUGUCGGAGGGGCAGACAACUCAGUGUUAGUCAGCAUCCACCUGGCUGCCUCUGCCUACCUGCCUGCAUGGUAACAUCUGCCUGGGAUUCAGUAUGUUUUCCUUUUUAAUUCUCUCACCGCUUAAAUGCCCUUGUUUAUCCAUAGCUGUCCACCUGUCCAUUUCUCUAACCCCUUCAUUAGCUAGCUCAAAUUGAAUUAUUUCCUGAAUCCAAACAUAAUUACUUUGAAGCUAGUAAUAACUAACAACUUUCAAGGAACUUUACACAUAAUUUCUCAUUUGUAGAGGAUGCAGAUUUCUGCAUUUAAUGCUGGGCUUGCAUUAGGUGUGUGUUUAUGUAUGUGCUACACUGCAGGGCAUAGCCUUGCUGAUUAAGGUCCAUAAAUCAGUAUCUGGUCACUUUUAACCACUUAGUUCAUUUUUCAUUUGAAAUGCAAUCAGUUAUCCUUGGCGAACAAAUACACACAGCAAGUGUCCUUCCUAGUUGUGUGUCACUCAUCUCUACUAUUGCUCCUUCAAUAGCCCUCCAUCCAUCAUCCAUCCAUUUUACUCAAAAAAUCAUGGACACAUCCUCCCCCAUCAUCUUCUGUCCAGCCAGCCAAGAACACUUAAUGCUGCACUUUGGUUUCUUUCCAAUCAAUCCCCUGUUGCAUAACCUACUUUCUCUAAAUAUCUUUGCCUCUCUGUAUUCAACUUCAUUUCCAUUUCUCCAUCUGUGGGUCUCCCUGUCUCUCUAUCAGAAUAAAUAAGCAUUAUGAUGCACCAAGUAAUGUUCAUGUCCACAGCGGCACCAGGAAAAGGAAACGUCAUGGCCCACGCUUUGGCCCAGUGGCUUGCUGUCAUGUGGCAAAUGGAAAUGUCACAGAACUGCUCAUGAGACGGACAGUGAUAAAUCUCUCCUGAGUGACUGUGACGGCUGCCAUGUCCAUGUAUGAAUUCAAGUGACGUAGACUCUGGGCCCUGUUUGCUCGCCUCGGCUCUGAGCCAGCUGUCAUGUCUCCCCAUGUGUCCACUGGAAGUGGAUAAAGUGUUUUCUGUUGUCAUUCUUCAGUGGACGGGAAAUUAUAAUUUAACAUUCCUCUCAACUCUCUGUUUCCCAGAAGGUCUGCCCACUCCGGCUCUGUUGUCUUGUGUCCCAGGCCUUAUCUGAGGCAGAGCUUAACGCAGUUCUUCUUUUGAGACACUCUUAUUCUUUCUCAGUCUGUAUAUAUAUAUAUAUAUAUAUAUAUAUAU